GGGGGGGGGGGGGUUACAUUGACGAUGGGAGGUUGUAAUACUGUAAUGCGGAUGUGCUCAGAGAAAACUGCGUUCCUAGUUACUCCCUUACAGGGAGCGCAAAGGAUAAAGGGGGCAACACGCUUCAUACUGGCACAUGGACAGUUAACGUUACUUGUUUAGAUACCGGAUGCUAUUAGACAACGACAACGCGGCGACAACAACAAAUGCAACGAUGCCGACAACAAUGACAACGGAGCUGACAAAAACAACGACAACGCAGCCGACAACAAACUACGACAACUCUGUCGAAAACAACAAAGACAACGGCGGUGACAACAACAACAACACAACCGGCGACAACAACAACGAUACCGCUGGCGACACCAACAACGACAAUGCUGGCGAAAACAACAACAAGGCUUUCGACAAACAUCUGAAUCUUAAUUGUUACAUACUUUUCACAUGAAAAUAGCUCAAAUAUCAUACCAUUUUUUUGUUCAA